rnacentral:rRNA from 1 species
UACGUAGGUGGCAAGCGUUGUCCGGAUUUAUUGGGUUUAAAGGGUGCGUAGGCGGCUUAUUAAGUCAGUGGUGAAAUACUCUAGCUCGACUAGAGGGGUGCCAUUGAUACUGAUGAGCUUGAGUACAGAUGAGGUAGGCGGAAUUGACGGUGUAGCGGUGAAAUGCUUAGAUAUCGUCAGGAACACCUAUAGCGAAGGCAGCUUACUAGGCUGUAACUGACGCUGAGGCACGAAAGUGUGGGGAUCAAACAGG